GAGGUGCGUUUCCACUGUAAAGAUUACUUCAGGUUGUUUGCAAAUGACUGCAAACAGCCCCUAAAAAAUCCAUGUUAUGGUGCGCCAGUGUGAGGGCCCACAUGUUAGGGUAAUAGCAGACAAUGAAUUAUCAGUACGAUCAAUUAAGCCUGAGAUAGCUGAUCUUCCUGAAAAUAUUUACAAGGCCAGAAACGACUAGAAUGUUAUUUGACACCAGAGUCCUGCCACUUGCAUGAAAGACAGACACAGAGCACAGGGCAAAAAGGCAAUGGUGUCAAGCCAGUCUGGUCAGAGGUAGCCAGCCUUCAAAGGUGCCGCAAGGAGCUGGAAGAAACCUGGCAGAACUCCCUGAACUCGCUGGGCCCUGAAGACAGUGACAGAAGCCUAGAGAUUCUGAAAAUGCAUUUCAGGAGAGAUUGCUCCAACACCUUUCCAGGCAUUGGUGUAAAGCUGAUCAGACUGUAGUUCCCUGGAUUCUCCUCCCUGCGCUUCCUGAAGAUUGGAGUGACAAACAUAUUCAUCACUAUUGUGAAUUCCUGACCCAAGCAUACCAUUGGUGAAGCUGAGGAGGAGCUUUCUUUCCAUGGGGGCUUGGGGAAGUUCCAGGUUCCUCUGCAGCCCAUACACACCGUGCCGGUCGAGGACCACUUCAUGCCUGCAGGAGGGACAGCGAAACCGGCCUCCCGAAGCCACAGUCGUGCCUCCCCU